UACGUAGGGUGCGAGCGUUAAUCGGAAUUACUGGGCGUAAAGCGUGUGCAGGCGGUUUGUUAAGACAGGUGUGAAAUCCCCGGGCUUAACCUGGGAAUUGCGCUUGUUACUGGCAGGCUAGAGUGCGUCAGAGGGGGGUGGAAUUCCACGUGUAGCAGUGAAAUGCGUAGAGAUGUGGAGGAACACCGAUGGCGAAGGCAGCCCCCUGGGAUGACACUGACGCUCAUACACGAAAGCGUGGGGAGCAAACAGG
rnacentral:rRNA from 1 species